AUGGAUUCCAUCUUGGCAAAUGAAACUUGGGAGAUAACUGAUCGUCCUUAUGGGUGCAAACCUAUAGGAUGCAAAUGGGUAUUCAAGAAGAAGCUUAGGCCUGAUGGUACUAUUGAAAAGUACAAGGCUCGGCUCGUGGCUAAGGGUUAUACCCAGAAGGAAGGUGAAGACUUCUUUGAUACUUACUCACCUGUGGCUCGACUGACCACUAUUCGAGUUCUACUUUCACUAGCUGCCUCGCAUGGUCUUCUCGUUCAUCAAAUGGAUGUUAAGACUGCUUUCCUAAAUGGAGAGUUGGACGAGGAAAUUUAUAUGGAACAACCAGAUGGGUUUGUACUAGAUGGUCAAGAAGAGAAAGUGUGCAAGUUGCUGAAGUCUUUGUACAGACUUAAGCAAGCACCCAAACAGUGGCAUGAGAAGUUUGAAAGAACUUUAACAGCUGCAGGCUUUGUUGUGAACGAAGCCGACAAAUGUGUGUACUAUCGCCAUGGUGGGGGCGAGGAAGUUAUCCUGUGCUUGUAUGUGGAUGACAUACUGAUUUUCGGAACAAAUCUGAAAGUUAUUAAGCAGGUCAAGGAUUUCCUAUCUCGUUGUUUUGAGAUGAAGGAUUUAGGAGUGGCUGAUGUCAUUCUGAACAUCAAGUUGUUGAGAGACGGUGAUGGUGGGAUUACUUUGAUUCAAUCUCACUAUGUGGAAAAGAUCUUGAGUCGCUUUGGCUAUAGUGACUGCAAGCCCUCUCCAACACCAUAUGAUGCUAGUGUGUUGCUUCGAAAGAAUCGAAGAAUUGCUAGAGACCAAUUGAAGUAUUCUCAGAUUAUUGGCUCGCUUAUGUACUUAGCCAGUGCUACAAGACCUGACAUCUCUUUUGCUGUUAGCAAACUAAGUCGGUUUGUUUCAAAACCAGGAGAUGUGCAUUGGAAAGCUCUAGAAAGAGUGUUGCGUUAUUUGAAAGGCACUGCAAAUUAUGGAAUUCACUACACCGGGCAUCCAAAGGUGCUUGAAGGGUAUAGUGACUCAAACUGGAUCUCAGAUGCUGAUGAGAUAAAGGCCACGAGCGGUUAUGUAUUCACUCAUGGAGGUGGCGCUGUUUCUUGGAAACACGUUCAGAGAAGGUUAAAAUCUGUCAGGAAAAUGAAAAACUCCGGAGUUAUCAUGUUAGAUUAUAUCCAAAUGUGUGAAAAUCUGGCAGAUCCUUUUACCAAGGGUCUAUCACGUAAUGUGAUAGAUAAUGCAUCGAGGGAGAUGGGUAUGAGACCCACAAUAUGA
rnacentral:rRNA from 1 species